GUGCGCCCUCUGGCCGCAGGCAUGCUAGCGUUGGAGCACUACAGAGAAGAGUAGCAUGGUCCCGCACAAGGGUGACUUGCAAAUUCACGAAGCCUUCCAUUAAAAA
rnacentral:snRNA from 1 species